GAUGAAGAACGUAGCGAAAUGCGAUAAGUAAUGUGAAUUGCAGAAUUCAGUGAAUCAUCGAGUCUUUGAACGCACAUUGCGCCCCCUGGUAUUCCGGGGGGCAUGCCUGUCCGAGCGUCAUUGCUGCCCUCAAGCACGGCUUGUGUGUUGGGCCCCCGUCCCCGGUUUCCCCCGGGGACGGGCCCGAAAGGCAGCGGCGGCACCGCGUCCGGUCCUCGAGCGUAUGGGGCUUUGUCACCCGCUCUGUAGGCCCGGCCGGCGCCAGCCGACACCCAACUUUAUUUCUAAGGUUGACCUCUGAUCAGGUAGGGAUACCCGCUGAACUUAAGCAUAUCAAUAAGCGGAGGA
rnacentral:misc_RNA from 1 species